UGACAGUUGCUUUGACUUGACUUGUCCUGAUAAUUGCUUUAAGUCCUCCAUGACCCUCCAAUAGAAUGUGUGAGCUCCAUUAGAAAGUGUAUGAUUUGCAGGGGAUGGUGUGCCACUAUCUUCUUACAAAAUAGGAAUGUAUAUUGAUGUCCUUUGUUUGAGUCAAAUAUAAUCUAUGUUAGUGGGAAUUUCCCCAGAAGCUGACCCUGAGACAGGAACCCAAAUGAAAUAGCUUAUCCUGAAGUGAUUCUAGGAAGCAUUGAUAGAGAGAUGGGAAAAUAAAACCACAAAUUACCUCUGUGGGUAAGGAUCUUACUUCUACAGGGCAAAUCUGAGAACCAGAAUAGAACUCUGCUUAGAAUUCCACCUGAGGUUAAUACACAGACUCCCAAGAGUCAUUGUUUAGUGCCUUGACUGGGAACAUUAACACUUUAGCACUUGGGACAGAUUGGGCUUCAAUUUGCAGGGAAAGCUGUCAAGCAAAGAGAGGCAAAUACUGGCCUGGUAGCCUGGCUGGCAGGCACUGCAAAUAUAAAUCCCAAAGGCAUAUGGAUGGGGCACCAACUAUACUUCCAGUCCUCCUCAGGCCAAAAGACCUCAGGAUUUGACAUUCCAGAUCUGGCUCCACCUUUCUUUUAUUCUCUACUUUCAGAACCAAUCCAGAUGUUUGGACAUGAACGUUCACCUUGUUAUUUUCCUGGAGGAGUGAUGUGCAAAGGGUGCUGUGGUUCCAGAAAUCCAGGAGACAUGGAAGGUCACUGUGGGAAGAGAAGUCUGCAUCUUGAAGGAUCAGCUGAAGUUUGGCACAUAGAAAAGUAAAACGAAGGAAUUUUAGGCAGAGGGAAAUGUUUGUGCAGCAGUAUGAGGAUCGACAGGGAUGCAAAAGUCUGGGUUUUAACAGAAGAUAGAGGACACUAUGAAGAAAUGCUGACAGUUUUCAGUGGCCAGCGGCAGCAAACAUGAUCAUUCUUCUUGACUUUCACCCCACCUCUCCCCUUCCCACGUCUGUGGAAUCUGGCUUCAGCCCUGAGCUGGGUUCUUCUUUCAGUUUGAUAAAUGCUUUCACUAUUUUGCUUAAUUGUCUCCUUCCAGUAUUUAUUAAACAGAAAGAAGAUUAAAUCCAAUUAAAUAAAUGAAGCACUUUUUGACCA
rnacentral:lncRNA from 1 species